AUUGAACGCUGGCGGUAGGCCUAACACAUGCCAGUCGAGCGAGCGGCGGACGGGUGAGUAAUGUCCGGGAAACUGCCUGAUGGAGGGGGAUAACUACUGGAAACGGUAGCUAAUACCGCAUACCAUCAGAUGUGCCCACAUGGGAUUAGCGAGUAGGUGGGGUAAUGGCUCACCUAGGCGACGAUCCCUAGCUGGUCUGAGAGGAUGACCAGCGACACGGGAAUGGCGACACGGGGCGGGCUGCUAGGGACGGCAGCAGUGGGGAAUAUUGCACAAUGGGCGCAGGCCUGGAGCAGCUAUGCCGCGAGUGUGAAGAAGGCCAACGGGUUGUGAAGCAAUUUCAGCGGGAAGGCGUUACCCGCAGAAGAAGCAACGGCUAACUCCGUGCCAGCGGGCGCGGUAAUAC
rnacentral:rRNA from 1 species